rnacentral:rRNA from 1 species
UACGUAGGGGGCGAGCGUUGUCCGGAAUUAUUGGGCGUAAAGAGCGUGUAGGCGGCCAGGUAGGUCAGCUGUGAAAACUCGAGGCUCAACCUCGAGAUGUCGGCUGAAACCAUCUGGCUAGAGUCCGGAAGAGGAGAAUGGAAUUCCCGGUGUAGCGGUGAAAUGCGCAGAUAUCGGGAAGAACACCCGUGGCGAAGGCGGUUCUCUGGGACGGUACUGACGCUGAGACGCGAAAGCGUGGGGAGCGAACAGG